rnacentral:rRNA from 1 species
GACAGAGGGUGCAAACGUUGCUCGGAAUCACUGGGCGGAAAGGGCGUGUAGGCGGGCAGGUAAGUCGGGCGUGAAAUCCCUGAGCUCAACUCAGGAACUGCACUCGAAACUACUUGUCUUGAGUACCGGAGAGGAAAGCGGAAUACCUGGUGUAGAGGUGAAAUUCGUAGAUAUCAGGUGGAACACCAGUGGCGAAGGCGGCUUUCUGGACGGUAACUGACGCUGAGACGCGAAAGCGUGGGGAGCAAACAGG